rnacentral:rRNA from 1 species
GAUGAACGCUGGCGGCGUGCCUAAUACAUGCAAGUCGAGCGAACGGACGAGAAUCUUGCUUCUCGGAUGUUAGCGGAGGACGGGUGAGAAACACGUGGAUAACCUACCUAUAAGACUGGGAUAACUUCGGGAAAGCGUAUCUUAUACCGGAUAAUAUUUUGCACCGCAUUGUGCGUAAGUGAAAGACGGUCGUUCUGGCACUUAUAGAUGGAUCCGCGCUGCAUGAGCUAGUUGGUAAGGUAACGGCUUACGAAGGCGACGAUGCAUAGCCGAGGUGAUAGGCUGAUAGCCCACACUGGAAGUGAGCCACGCUCCAGGCUCCUGCGGGAGGCAGCAGUAGGGAAUCUUCGGCAGUAGGCGAAAGCCUGACGGAGCAAGCCGGAGUGAGUUAUGACGGCGUUCGGAGCGUAAAACUGUGUUAUUAGGGAAGAACAUCUGUGUCAGGAACUGUGGAGAUAUUGACGGUAAUUAAUCAGAAAGCACCGGCUAACUACGUG